rnacentral:rRNA from 1 species
CCUACGGGAGGCAGCAGUAGGGAAUCUUCCACAAUGGACGAAAGUCUGAUGGAGCAACGCCGCGUGAGUGAAGAAGGUUUUCGGAUCGUAAAACUCUGUUGUAAGGGAAGAACAAGUACAGUAGUAACUGGCUGUACCUUGACGGUACCUUAUUAGAAAGCCACGGCUAACUACGUGCCAGCAGCCGCGGUAAUACGUAGGUGGCAAGCGUUGUCCGGAUUUAUUGGGCGUAAAGCGCGCGCAGGCGGUCCUUUAAGUCUGAUGUGAAAGCCCACGGCUCAACCGUGGAGGGUCAUUGGAAACUGGAGGACUUGAGUGCAGAAGAGGAAAGUGGAAUUCCAAGUGUAGCGGUGAAAUGCGUAGAGAUUUGGAGGAACACCAGUGGCGAAGGCGACUUUCUGGUCUGUAACUGACGCUGAGGCGCGAAAGCGUGGGGAGCAACAGGAUUAGAUACCCUGGUAGUCCACGCGGUAAACGAUGAGUGCUAAGUGUUAGGGGGUUUCCGCCCUUUAGUGCUGCAGCUAACGCAUUAAGCACUCCGCCUGGGGAGUACGGUCGCAAGACUGAAACUCAAAGGAAUUGACGGGGGCCCGCACAAGCGGUGGAGCAUGUGGUUUAAUUCGAAGCAACGCGAAGAACCUUAC